AUUGAACGCUGGCGGCAUGCCUUACACAUGCAAGUCGAACGGUAACAGGUCUUCGGAUGCUGACGAGUGGCGAACGGGUGAGUAAUACAUCGGAACGUGCCCGAUCGUGGGGGAUAACGGAGCGAAAGCUUUGCUAAUACCGCAUACGAUCUACGGAUGAAAGCAGGGGACCGCAAGGCCUUGCGCGGACGGAGCGGCCGAUGGCAGAUUAGGUAGUUGGUGGGAUAAAAGCUUACCAAGCCGACGAUCUGUAGCUGGUCUGAGAGGACGACCAGCCACACUGGGACUGAGACACGGCCCAGACUCCUACGGGAGGCAGCAGUGGGGAAUUUUGGACAAUGGGCGAAAGCCUGAUCCAGCCAUGCCGCGUGCAGGAUGAAGGCCUCGGUUGUAAACUGCUUUGUACGGAACGAAAGACUACUUCUAAUAAAGGGAGUACCAUGACGGUACCGUAAGAAUAAGACAACCGGCUAACUACGUGCCAGCAGCCGCGGUAACAACG
rnacentral:rRNA from 1 species